rnacentral:lncRNA from 10 species
ACUCAUCCCCAAUGUGUGUAGUUGUGGUUUUUCAGUCUUGAUGCUGUGUCUCACAAUUUAUUCUACUGAUGAUGGACAUGUGAGUUGUUUCUGGUUUUUGCAUGGAUGUUUUAUAUGUGUUUCUUGGUGAAUAUACAUCUCUCUAUUUAUAUUCACAAGAAUAUAUACCAAGAGCCCUAAUUUGUUUAGAACUGUAAUAUGCACAGUUAAAACAACUUGUCCUCUCAGGACCUUUUGCAGUUAGGGUUGGUCGUAUGACAUGGUCCUGCGAAGAAGAUACGGAUAGAAGUCUGUGGGCCACCAGUGGAUUGAAUGAUGCCCGUAUGCACUGAGAAGGGCCAUGUGUUUACUCGGUCUACCAAUUCAAAUGUUAAUCUCAUCCAAAAACACCCUCACAGAUACCUUUGGAAUGAUGUUUAACCAAAUAUUUGGGUACCGUCUUCCCCAGUGAAGUUGACACAAAAUUAACCAUCACAGCUGCCUUCCUGUGGGCCUCAUGUUAUAUGAGAACAGUAUUGGGUGUACACUUAAAGCGUUCUGGGAAUAUGAAUCCCUUCUGCACCCUGGAAUCACCAGUCCAGCCAUGCAUGGAGCUGGGGAAAGCAGGCCCUGAAUUGUCUAGAGAGACUUGGUGGAGGAGGCCACGGCCCGCCUUGUCCCUGCCGGGUCCCGGCCAGGAUCUGAACGUCUAUGACACUCUUUCGAGCUGACACAGUGAAGAACAUAGAAGGAGAACUCACCCAGUCUGCCAGGGUCACAGAAUGAUCAUACUCAAGAUCUUCCUGGGGAGUCAAUGGCAAAUUUCACUGGG